rnacentral:rRNA from 1 species
CAGUAGCCGCGGUAAUACGUAGGUGGCAAGCGUUGUCCGGAAUUAUUGGGCGUAAAGGGCUCGCAGGCGGUUUCUUAAGUCUGAUGUGAAAGCCCCCGGCUCAACCGGGGAGGGUCAUUGGAAACUGGGAAACUUGAGUGCAGAAGAGGAGAGUGGAAUUCCACGUGUAGCAGUGAAAUGCGUAGAGAUGUGGAGGAACACCAGUGGCGAAGGCGACUCUCUGGUCUGUAACUGACGCUGAGGAGCGAAAGCGUGGGGAGCGAACAGGAUUAGAUACCCCCCGUAGUCCCUGUCUCUUAUU